AAAAGCGCUUCGGAUUUAGGGUGUUUUAAGACGGAAUGUGGAGAGAAUAAUAGGAAGCAGGACUUCUCUCUGGGAAGCAGGUACCUUUAGCUCAUUCCUCAAGCCUCCUUCCUCACAUUCCUAUCCCCUGUCCCUGGUGCGGAUGCUGGAUGCUGCUGCUAAGCCCAGCAGAGGCCAGCAACAGGAGUCACGCCUGUCUGGCCGCUCCCAGUCGAACCCAGUCUGUGUAGGUGGGCGCGAGGGCUGGCGCUGGAGGCUGGGAGGACCUUUCAAGCAACCAGCAAACGCGCUCGGGAGUUCAUUGACUGGCCGCUUAGAGCUUCAGGGACCCAGGAGAUAGCGCUGCACUGGAUCGGCUGGGCUGUGUGUAUAUAUGCGUGUGUGGGUUUUUUUUCUCCCUCUCCAUCUUCAUCCUUCUCCUCAAGCCGUCCCCCCCGGGAGAGUCGCUUCGUCCACGCUUUCCCUCCCCUGCAAGGGGUCCCAACGCUUGGCGCCUGGAAUGUUUAGGACUCUGGAACCUUCAGUUUCCUGUCCUGCCUCCGUGUGGGCGACACUGGUCUCACCUGGCUUGACCCUCAGUCCCAGAGAGUGCUGCCAGGCCACGAUCUGCUGUCCAUUCUGGGUGCCCAUCUCGGAGGGAUACUCUGGGGACAGCCUGCAUCCAGUACCCAGCUUGAAGAGGGAAACUUGAUCCCAAGAUACGGGUUUCGAAGCCUGCAUUUGAAAAGGACCCGAGCGACCCGAGCGCACAAGGCGACUUGUCUGGGGCGAAGGGAACGGCGAGCCUCUGUGAGCGCCUUCAUUAGGGACCCUACACCGGAAGGUGCAGCCGGGCACUGGCCCUCGGGACAUUCGCUGGGGAUCCUUUGGCCACCCCAGCCUCUUACCUCGAAAAGCUGAGGAAUGUCCCUCCGGGCCAGCCACGUUUCUUCUGUUAAUUGUCAUUCUGCAGUAUAAUUAAUUAAUUUCCAUGCUGCUUCUAACUGGGUGAAAUUACAAGACUAAGGAUCGACCACAUCUCUGCAAGCAGUGAGCAUGCUUAAGGAGAGCUCUUCCCAGUCCUUGAGCCGCAGAGGAAGGAGGAACAAAAGCCCAGGGUCAUGCGUGCUUUCUCAGUGAGUCUGGUUACCUGAGACCCUGCCUGAAAAGCUCAAACCAAACCAAGGAAAAAAUAAGAUGAGUCAGUGACAUGGGAGCCCAGGCAGCACCGAGGUGAAAGGAUUCACCCUGAGCAGGCGUCUGGACCUGCGCACACCCAGUCCCACCAGGGACCACUAGUAAUGACUAGGAGGUUUGAGACUUGAGUACUUGCUUCAUCACAGGGGUCCCUGACGCACCCCAUUCUGAGACAGUAGAUUGGAAACCAGGGUAUGGAAAUAACCACCGAAAGUGACAUUCUGCCAUGGUAUUUGUGAAGGAAAGAACGGUUAAUUCCAAGAGUGAUGGAGCCUGUUAGGCAACUUGGGCCACACAGGGCAAGAAACCUUUGUCGCUCUCCCGAGAUGGAACCGAGUUAUCGGAAAUGCCUGACCUUGGCAGUUACAGAGAGCUCCAGGGCAUGAGCUUCCCUCACAGCAGAACCCAAACUCCACAGGAAGCAGCCAAGGAAGGGACAGAAGAAGCAGGGGACAGCUGGGAACAUCAGCUCUCCUUGUUGCCUCCCCAAGGCACACGUUACGACCAUCUAUCUAGAGAGGAGCAAGAAGGGUUUUCUGAGAUGCUGGGGUUUAUAUAAGAUAGAGCUUAUCAAAUACUUUCCAUCUGUCCAAGAAAUUUUUACACAAGUCUAGGUAUAAGUAUAUAAAAUAUGUUUACAAAUCAAACUGAUAACUUACUGAUAAUAUAAAGAAAUGUAUUUUAAAACU
ensembl:antisense AI115009 expressed sequence AI115009